ensembl:lncRNA
UGUCCUGAGGGCACAUAUAGCUCCUCACAGGAUGCAGACGGGCGACAGCUGGGCGUCUGUCUGCCCUGUGCCCCCGUCUGCUCCAGCUGCAGCGGGCCAUCGGCCAAAGACUGUCUGACCUGUUCUCCAGGACACCUGCGCCUCCUGCACCUCUGUGUCAGCCGCUGUCCCACAGGGUUUUACAAAGGCGGCUCUGAGUGUAAGAAGUGCCAUCACUCCUGUGCCAUGUGCUCGGGCCCCGGUCCAGAGUCCUGUCGAGUCUGUGUGCCCCCCCUGCUGGAGAUACAAGGAACUAACCUGUGUGUGGAGCGCUGCCCUCAACGCUUCUACCAGAGCGAGCAUGUGUGCAGGCAGUGCCACAUCAGCUGCCAGACGUGCUCAGACCCAUCUCCUCAGGCUUGUCUCACCUGUGACGAUGGAAACACUCUGAAGGACAACGUCUGCUUCCCUCGCUGUGGAGA